rnacentral:misc_RNA from 1 species
GCUUAUUGUUGGUGGAAGUGAUGCGUUUGCUCGGUUGUAUGAUAGGAGAAUGCUACCUCCAUUAUCCUCGAGUCAGAAAAAGCUUCCACCUCCACCUUGUGUCAGCUACUUCUGCCCAAUGCAUCUUUCUGAUCGUGGACGUUCUAACUUGCAUAUGACCCACGUCACAUUUAGUCCCAAUGGUGAAGAGGUUUUGCUUAGCUAUAGUGGAGAACAUGUGUACUUGAUGGAUGUGAAUCCUGCACAUGGAAAUUCUAUCUCAUAUACCUCUGGAGAUGUGUCAAACCUGAUGAAUUUUGCUCCCUCGGUCAAUGGAAUCGAAUUACAAUCAUCAGUUAGUGGAAUCUUCUUAAAUGGUUCUUCAUCAAAAAGAAUUCCAGCUUCCAAGCUAGAAAAAUGCAAAAGAUUGAUUCAGGUGGCACUGAAUUCUUUGAAAGAGGACUCCAACUAUUAUUAUGGGAUAGAAGCUUGUAAUGAAGUCUUAGACGGUUGCAGGGAUGAGAUUGGUCCCCUUCUAUCCUUUGAAUGCUUAUGCACUCGUGCAGCAAUAUUGCUGAAGAGGAAGUGGAAAAAUGAUGCACAUAUGGCUAUAAGAGACUGUCAUAGAGC